rnacentral:rRNA from 1 species
AGAGUUUGAUCCUGGCUCAGAACGAACGCUGGCGGCAGGCCUAACACAUGCAAGUCGAGCGCCCAGCAACGGGAGCGGCGGACGGGUGAGUAACACGUGGGAAUAUGCCUUUCGGUUCGGAACAACUCGGGGAAACUCGUGCUAAUUCCGGAUACGCCCUUACGGGGAAAGAUUUAUCGCCGAAAGAUUAGCCCGCGUCCGAUUAGCUAGUUGGUGAGGUAAUAGCUCACCAAGGCACCGAUCGGUAGCUGGUUUGAGAGAACGACCAGCCACACUGGGACUGAGACACGGCCCAGACUCCUACGGGAGGCAGCAGUGGGGAAUCUUGGACAAUGGGGGAAACCCUGAUCCAGCCAUGCCGCGUGAGUGAUGAAGGCCUUCGGGUUGUAAAACUCUUUCGACGGGGACGAUAAUGACGGUACCCGUAGAAGAAGCUCCGGCUAACUUCGUGCCAGCAGCCGCGGUAAUACGAAGGGGGCUAGCGUUGUUCGGAAUUACUGGGCGUAAAGCGCGCGCAGGCGGCUCUUCAAGUCAGGGGUGAAAGCCCAGAGCUCAACUCUGGAACUGCCUUUGAGACUGAAAAGCUUGAGUACGGGAGAGGUGAGUGGAAUUCCCAGUGUAGAGGUGAAAUUCGUAGAUAUUGGGAAGAACACCGGUGGCGAAGGCGGCUCACUGGCCCGUUACUGACGCUCACGCGCGACAGCGUGGGGAUCAAACAGGAUUAGAUACCCUGGUAGUCC